rnacentral:misc_RNA from 1 species
AAAGGUUUCUCUAAGGCUUGGGUAAUACCAGGCUCCUAGAAAACUCCACCCUUGUGUAUUUAUUAUUUGUUGCUUUGGCAGGCCGCGAGAGCGCCUAGCGAUUGAGCACCGGCUUCGGCUGGAGAGUGCCUGCCAGAGGACCCCCAACUCUUUGUUAUUUAUGUCGUCUGAGUUACUAUUUAAUAGUUA